AGCGAACGCUGGCGGCAGGCCUAACACAUGCAAGUCGAACGAACUCUUCGGAGUUAGUGGCGGACGGGUGAGUAACACGUGGGAACGUGCCUUUUGGUUCGGAAUAACUCAGGGAAACUUGUGCUAAUACCGAAUGUGCCCUUCGGGGGAAAGAUUUAUCGCCAUUAGAGCGGCCCGCGUCUGAUUAGCUAGUUGGUGAGGUAACGGCUCACCAAGGCGACGAUCAGUAGCUGGUCUGAGAGGAUGACCAGCCACACUGGGACUGAGACACGGCCCAGACUCCUACGGGAGGCAGCAGUGGGGAAUCUUGCGCAAUGGGCGAAAGCCUGACACAGCCAUGCCGCGUGAAUGAUGAAGGUCUUAGGAUUGUAAAAUUCUUUCACCGGGGACGAUAAUGACGGUACCCGGAGAAGAAGCCCCGGCUAACUUCGUG
rnacentral:rRNA from 1 species